UUGCGCAAUGGGGGCAACCCUGACGCAGCAACGCCGCGUGAUUGAAGAAGGCCUUCGGGUUGUAAAGAUCUUUAAUCAGGGACGAAGAAUGACGGUACCUGAAGAAUAAGCUCCGGCUAACUACGUGCCAGCAGCCGCGGUAAUACGUAGGGAGCAAGCGUUAUCCGGAUUUACUGGGUGUAAAGGGCGCGCAGGCGGGCCGGCAAGUUGGGAGUGAAAUCCCGGGGCUUAACCCCGGAACUGCUUUCAAAACUGCUGGUCUUGAGUGAUGGAGAGGCAGGCGGAAUUCCGAGUGUAGCGGUGAAAUGCGUAGAUAUUCGGAGGAACACCGGUGGCGAAGGCGGCCAACUGGGCUUUAACUGACGCUGAGGCUCGAAAGUGUGGGGAGCAAACAGGAUUAGAUACCCUGGUAGUCCACACUGUAAACGAUGAUUGCUAGGUGUGGGGGGUCUGACCCCUU
rnacentral:rRNA from 1 species